AUGUAGGUGCAGGAAAGGAGAUGUGUCACACAUCAGUUUGGAUGUCUUCUCUGACUUGACAUCCACCAGUUCUGUUACACAAUAAAUCUAAUAAUUCCCAUCUAGCAUGAUCAAUAGCCAGAGAUAAAGGAAUUCCCACUUAACCAAAUGAACAAUAUUGGCAGGGGGCUGGCUCAGGUUUUCAUUUCUAAGUUCAAAGGCUGAAAAUCAGACAGUUCUAAAGUGAAUUUGGUAUUUUUCUAUAUUCAAUCAUAUUUCUUCCCUGAGCUUAAUUUCCAUGCAAUAAUAUUCAUCCGAAUUCUGGAAAACAAACAAUAAAUUAUGUCCAACUCAAUGUCUUCAAAAUCACCACAAGUUCACAAAAGCAAUAAUUCCUUUAAAUAAUUAAUACUCAUGAACUCACUUUUCUUUGCAUUUCCAAAGAAACCAUAGCAAUCUGGAUUGUUGUAUCCCUAGGGAUGAAGGAAGGACCUCAUUUGAAGUACAGUCAGCCCUCUAUAUCCAUAGAUUCUGCAUCCAUGGAUUCAACCACCCAUGGUCUAUUGCCUCCUUCCAAAAACAUAUGCAAAAAGCAUACUUUGAUUUUACUAUUUUGUUUAAUGGGGACCAUUUUACUACACUAUUGUAUAUAAUGGAACUUGGGCACCCAUUGAUUUUAGUAUCCACGGAAGGUCCACAAACCAAACCCCAGCUAGGAGUAAGGAGCCACUGUAGAGUAAAUGGCAAUGCUUCAAGCAUUACUAUUCAAACAGUGGAUAAUCUAAUUAUCAAACAAGUUAUUUCUUGGUACUUUUAAUGUCUAGAAAGUAACUAGAUAAAUUACUGCUUAUUAACUCAUUACUGUCAUUGUUACUCCUGUGUUAUAGAGAUAGAAAGAAUAUGUGCCAAUGUAGUGAUACCUGAGUUAAGAGUUUAAUUCAUUCAAUGACUGUGCUCUUAACUCAAAUCACUCUUAUCUCAAAGCAAAUUUACCAUUGAAAUGCUAUUACUCUAUUCCAGCCUCUCAGCCCCCACAUUAUGUUACAUGUUUUUAAAUAAGAAAAUGCACUUUAUAAGUAACAAAUAAUGUAUAUAGAGGUACAUUCACAUGGAACAAUAAAAAAGAAAGAAAGAUCAACUUUAAAAUGAUAGAAGCACAACGUUCUGGCACAAUGGUAGAAGCACAAAGCACAAAGUGAAGAGAUAGAAGCAUCAUUUUCUUUAUACUGUACACAUUCCAGCCUGCCUCCCUCUCUUGCUCUCUCUUCCUCUCUCUCCUCAUGAAGCCACACAUACUAGGAAUAAAAACCACACAAAAUUAACUAGCCCAAAGUUCCUCAAAGUAGACAAAAGCAAGCACACAGCAAUCUCCCAAAGUGGACAAGAGCAAAGCAGACAGCAAUCUCCCAAAGCGGACAAGAGCACGAGGUAUGGAGGCUGCUCCCUUGAAACCCUAAAGCCCUGUACUUUCAUGCUAGCACCCCUUCUCACACUAGCUCUUAAUUCAAAAUGCUACUCAUAUACCAAAGUGAAAUCCAGACCGAGCGAUGGCUCUUAACUCAAGAUGCUAUUAAGUUGGGAUGCUCUCAAGUCAAGGUUUCACUGUAUUUGAAAAAGGGUCAUAACCCAAAAUUCUCAAUUGUUGGAAAACACUUUUGAGAAAAGAGAUGGAUUAGAACCUGCAGAGCUUUAGAAUUGUUUUGUGUGUGUGUGUGUGUGUGGGGGGGGGGGGGGGUCUUGUUGUUUUGAGUGGUAAACAGCAUUUUAUCUGUAGAAAGUAACAUUUUUGUGCAGAAAAUAAUUUUCCUGCACAGAAAUGGGCAUUUUCUGUGUUAAAAAUAACAUUUAUGCAGAGGACAAGACAAGGAAGGGAUUUUGCCACUGCUGUUAUACUGCUGAAUAGCUCUUACAGUCAGGAAGUUCUUCCUAAUGUUCAGGUGGAAUCUCCUUUCCUGUAAUUUGAACCCAUUGCUCCAAGUCCUAGUCUCCAGGGCAGCAGAAAACAAGCCUGCUCCCUCUUCCUUAUGACAGUAUUUUAAAUAUUUGAACAUGUGGAUAAUGUCUCCUCUUAGCCUUCUCUGUCUGCAGGCCAAACAUAUCUAGCUCUUUAAGACCCUCCUCAUAAGGCAUGCUCUCCAAACCAUUGAUCAUUUUAGUUGCCCUUCUCUGAACACCUUCCAGCUUAUCAAUAUCACUCUUGAAUUGUAGUGCCCAGAAUUGGGCACACUAUUCCAGGUGAGGUCUGACCAAAGCUCAAGGAAACUUUUGAUGUAAAUCCAUGAUAGCAAAAGCAUUCAGAAGUCUAUUGUUGACAUGUGAUUAAAUUGUCAGCAACAUUAAGAACAAUUUAAAACACAUAGCACAUAUAAAGAGAUUAAAAUUAAAAGCACUUAAAGCUGUACAGCACUAUAUUAAAAAGCCCUUGCUUUAGCAAUCGUCUUUAAUUUAAAUACUGUAUAACUUUAACAUGACAUAGUAUAACGUUAAAGUGAGUGUUUUCUUUAUUUGAUGCAAGAAUGAAAAUAAAGUAGUCAAGGUUAUACUUGACUAUGUAGUAUAAUCAAGAAUAGAAUGAACUGAAUAUUGAAAUGUAUAAUCCUUUCCCAGCUGCAUCGUAGUCAUAAGCAAUGAACCAUUGGUGUCAACAUGUGCAAGGAAUGUUUGCUUAGUUUUAAUAUCCCAUUCAUUUACAUAAUGAGAACAGUUACUUAUUUCAUCUAAAGAAACAUGUUUCUUGUUCACUGUAUUUAUUUUAUAAUUCUCAUUUUAGGUUUAUUCAUUCUUUUUAUCCUCCUUUAACAAUUAACAUUAUUUCCAGCUGGGAGGAAUACUUGUUUUAGCAGCACCUUCUGGUGGCUGCCAUAUCCCCAUGUCAGAGGGAUGGGCUGGUGGAAUAGUCACCCACAUAUGUGAAUUAGAAAAAAAAUGUAUAACUUAUUUUUUAGAAAGUAAAUACCAUAAUUACUCAAGUUUAGUGCUUACAUUUUGGCUAAAUUACAUUGCCCAAAUUGAGGUGCUCAUUAGAUGUGAUGGCAUGUUAGAAUCACAUGGAUAAACCCAUCUGUAUGAAAAGACUCAGAGGAACCUUGAACACUUGAAGCCAACCAGGAGGUAUUGGGAGCACAGUGAGGGUGUUCCUGGUAACAGCAGCAGCCUCAGGGCUCAGUAGCACCUGGAGAAGGAUGAGGAGCAUCCAGCUGAUGACCCAGUUAUUCCUGCUGCUUAGCUGUGGAUCCAGACUCCUGGGUAGGUCUUGGGAUCCUCCCCCUGCACCCCACCUCUGUCCCAUGCAGAUCACAAUUAUGGUUCCCCUCCAUUAGGCCUUCAAAACCAUCAGCACCCCCAUUAGUUUUGAAGGCCUUGUGAAUGAGGCCAGUUGGGAACCAUGUGCAGCCUUGGUCUGACGGAGGGAAUGGCUUCCCAAAUGGCCUCAUUCAUGCUGCCUACCUCCUUGAUGUGUUAUGCCUGCACUGUUGGGUGCUGGGGUUGUGCAUGGAUCCAUUUGAAGAAAUGGUCUUCAGCUGGUUUGGCUGAUUUGGUUGUCCAUAACAGCAAGGACUCCACCGCCAUCUUUUUUCAUUUGAAAUAGACCACAUGGCUACCAAUCGCAGCUACUUUCAGUUUCUAUUUGGGAACAUGAGAAACUCGGUCACUGGUCAAUGACCAUAUUAAAGUGAACUUGACUUGACAAGAAGCUCGAAGAGGCUGCCACAUGCUUGCAUAGGGUUUCCCUGCAAGCUAUAUCUGUUGAGCCAAUCAGAAUAGAAGAAAGCUGUGAUGUGUCUCACCCAAACUUACCCAAGCUGGGUCUAUAGAAAAAGGGCAAGUGCUUCCAUUUUGCAGUUGUGUCCUGGCUCUAGAAAGAAGCAUUGUGCUUCAGAAGAUUGUGCUUCAGUCUGCUUGCCGCUCACAUCUUUAGUUUUUGUCUUGGCUUUGCCUUCUUCUAGCAUUUUGGUUUCAAAACAUUAGCAGAAGCAAAUCUAUUUCUUUGAAUCUAAUUUUAUUAUUUGAUUUUCCUUUAUUUCCUUUGUUUUCUUGAUCCUUUAUUUAGUGGGACUGGCAGUUGGAAAGUGUGUGUGUUUGAGGACUCAGGAGAAAGAGCAUCUCUUGGAUGGGUCACUUCACUUAUCCCACAGAUGGAAUUUAAUAUCAGAAGUGAAUCAGCCUGAAGAAAGAAAUGAUGGGUGGUGGAGCUGGAAGAAACCCAAGCGGAAACUGAUUCCCAGAUGGUGAUAAAUUCAAAUUCAGACUCCAUUAAACCUGAGUAGAGAAACCCAGCAGGUGGCUACGCUAAUGGAAAAUCCUGGCUUUGGAAUAAUGGGAAUUACAACCGACAGCUCUUCUACACCACAAAAAAGAUGAUGUAUUCCUAUUGACAGUGCUGCUUUUGAGUCCAGAAGGCUGAUCUGAUAGUUCAAGGCUGGCACGAGGGAGGCUAAAAGGCCCAUGGGUAUUUUUCCUUGGCCACACCACUGUAAUUUUUGUCAUCAGAACCUUCCAUUAUAAUUCAUUGUACAAAUCUCAUAGAAGUUGGAGAGAGUGGGGGUAAAAACUCGCUUCAUUUGGCCUUCAGGCAUACAUUUGUUCUUUUUUCCCUUGGUUUAAAGGACAAAUAAAGGUUGACACACAACAGCAUUUCCAGCCACUGCUGUAUUUUUAAUGCUGACAUUCCUAGCCAAGUGCUUUUUGUGUUUCCAGACAAGCCCAUCUGAGAGAGUUUGUGUUAAAAAGAUGCAUAGAUUGCCCUGAAGGGGUAAUGCCUGAUGUUGUACUAUAAUUUGCCAGAAUAUUGCAUUUGUGUGAAUUUUUUAACUGAUGUUUUUAAAAAUGUAUAGUAUUUCAUCAUAACAGGGAUGCUGUCCAAUUGCUUCAGUAAAGACAUGAGAAUUUAACCUAUAAAUGCACUGUCUUCUUUAUUUUGGCAAUACAUUUUGAUAACUAAAAAUGAAUAAGUAAAAUGUGUGUUACCUAUAUUAUUCACUUUACUCCAUUUUUAUAAAUGCCUUCCAACAAUAUCACUUUAACAUGAAUGUUAUUAUUAAUAAUUUUGUAGAACUAAAGACCAAAGAUAAAAUUAUACAAUGGAGCAUGAGCAUGGAAAUGCCAAGUAAAAUGUCCACCUAUCAAAUAUUAAGAUAAUGAGAAACUGAUAAUAAAUAUGAGAACGUGGUGGGAUGGUUUUAAAUCGCAGCUUUUUAUUCUUUCAAAACUUUCCUAUUAACAAAAUUAAAUAUAAAAAUGGUGUCAAUGUAGUUUUUUUUAUUCCUGAGCAACAUGAAAAUAUGCAUCAUUUGCAUGGCAUAAAUGUGUCUGAAAACUGUAAAAACAUUAAUUUAAAUAAAUACAAAAUGUUUGA